GGGAGCGUGGCUCAGUGGAAAGAGCCUGGGCUUGGGAGUCAGAUGUAAAGGGUUCAAAUCCUGGCUCUCCCA
rfam:Ornithorhynchus anatinus chromosome 10, whole genome shotgun sequence.